AGAACCUGUGGCUGUUGCAUAUUAGACUGAUUGCUCCUGCAUGGACAGUCCAUAUCUGAAAUGCGGGCAAGCUCCUUGGCUGGGGUUGCUGUGUUUCUGUAAAGACUGACCUGACCCGGGUCUAGCACUUAUAAUAUAAGACUUUAAGUUGGAAUUUCUGCAAGAAAAGGCAGAAUUAACGUAAACAGGCCGAGGUCAAGGAUAACAGAGAGCAAGAAUAAUCAGGCAAGCCAAGUAUACACUCUUGGAUAAACAGAAACCAUGACAGGACAAGCAAACAAGGGCAAUCAGGAAGUGUACAUAGGGCCAUGAUGUCACAAGUGUGUACACAUCAUCAAAAAGCACCACAUAGACUGGCAUUAUAAAAGGAGACCAAAGGGAGAGUUCCACUCCAUAUAUGAUGUCAUAAUGAGGCACACAGAAGAGACAUCGCUUCCGUGAUCGCAUGACGCCACGAGGGAUAAGUAUUGACAUUCUCUCAUGCAAUGGGAUGCUGGCAUUUCAGGUCUGAAGUGGGCCUAGGUUCAUGGAUGCCGCCUCCUUCACUCUCUGACAUAACUGCUUCCUACUUCUUUCCAUUAAGUUCUACAGCCUUAGAGGGAGAAGGAGUGAGAAAAAGGGUGUUAGUGGACUACACAGGCUUUGCCGCAAAUAAAACUGAACUCCACUCUGCCGAGGUAAAAUAAAUCCAUCCCAACUCAAGUUGUAGGUAGUUUUAAAGAAAGCAGAUAGUAAAGCUAA